rnacentral:rRNA from 1 species
AUGAACGACUCUCGGCAACGGAUAUCCCGGCUCUCGCAUCGAUGAAGAACGUAGCGAAAUGCGAUACUUGGUGUGAAUUGCAGAAUCCCGUGAACCAUCGAGUCUUUGAACGCAAGUUGCGCCCAAAGCCAUUAGGCUGAGGGCACGUCUGCCUGGGUGUCACG